CCCUUAGAUGUUCUGGGCCGCACGCGCGCUACACUGAUGCAUUCAACGAGUCUAAAACCUGCUCUGAUAGGGGUGGGUAAUCUUUUGAAUGUGCAUCGUGAUUGGGAUAGAUGAUUGAAAUUUUUCAUCUUCAACGAGGAAUGCCUAGUAAACGCAAGUCAUCAGCUUGCAUUGAUUACGUCCCUGCCCUUUGUACACACCGCCCGUCGCUCCUACCGAUUGAAUGAUCCGAUGAAUAUCAUGGAUUGAGGAUGCAAGUAGGUUCACCUAUCUUCAUCUUCGAGAAGUGAAGUAAAUCUUAUCAUUUAGAGGAAGGAGAAGUCGCAACA
rnacentral:rRNA from 1 species